rnacentral:siRNA from 1 species
CAGCAGAACAUAGUCGCACGUUGC